rnacentral:tRNA from 1 species
GCGGGGGUAGUCAAGCCUGGCCAAAGAGAUAGUACAAUCUUGGAUACGCAGGACUGAGGCUCCUGUCCCGUAGGGGUUCGUGGGUUCAAAUCCCACCCCCCGCA